rnacentral:misc_RNA from 1 species
AAAAAAGUCUACUCUUUGACUUGCAGAAAAGAAAAAAGCUUUACUUUAUUCUAUCCUUAGAAGAACAAUAUUACACCAUUCUGCGUAGGGAAGACAAAAUUUGACAUAUCACCUACAAGGUUAAAACUCAAAAUUGAAACACGAAUCAAUUUUAUUGACAAAAACCAGGGCCUGCGUUCGUGCAACAUCUAGCUACUGCUGUUCUUCGCAAAAGCACUCCUCAAGAGAAGCGGAGAAGCCAAAAGUAUUUUUUCCUGGUGUUUGUCGAACUUCGUUAUUAUCUGCCUCUUCCUUUAUGGAUGGUGAUGGAGAAGAAAAGUCUAAGCACAUUCCUUGGAUGAGUUGCUCAUAAGAUGCAGAGAGAUCUUGGGAGGUGAGUUGGUGGUACUCUACGAGCUGAUGAAGGCAUUGGUUUUCCCUGAUAAGAUUUGUGUUUUCAUUGGCUAAUCUGGAUUUUUCAGCAAGUAGUGCCUCCAUUUGAAGCCUCAUCAGGUCGUCUUCCUCUGGUCUGAUCCCUUUAGAGAAUCCAUCUCGAAGCCUCCUGUUCUCUUCUUCAAGCAGAGUGCAUCUCUCUUGCAUAAAACAUAAAUCAGAUUUUAUUGACUUAAGCUCUCUUGCAAGUGAAGCUGCUUUCGUUGCCAUAGAAACUGCAAGCUGCAAAUUUAGAAAUAAGAUAAAUUGUCAUUUAGUACAAACUUGGUAAAGGCCAAUUGCAGAGGUGAAGAAUUGUAGUGAGAAGAAAGGAAGAACCUACAUUUUUGGCUUUCUUCAUCUUCUUAUCUUUUGGGCUUUGCUCGUUUUCCUUGUGUGAAUUAUUUCCUUGAUCCGCUGAGCUCUCACUAUCAGUUUGAUCGAACUUCCUUUUUGAUCCUUUAUUUCCUUGAUCCGUUGAAUUAUUUCCUUCCUCCCCUUUUUCUUCAUUUUGUUCUUUUUCUAAACCCUUUUGUUUAAUCUCUGAGUUGUUGAUAUUGCCAUGAAAUAUUUCACUCAAUGUGGGUGGUUCAGCUAGAUAUCUAGUUC